GCGUCGGGAGGUAGGAUAGAGGCUUGCCGCAGACUCUCCGGUCGGCCCCCACGGUCGUGGCGCGCGCGGGCCGGCAGGCCGCUCGGGUCGGUUGGCGGCUGCUCGCUGUCCGCGGAGCUGUUGGGGCACUUCCAGGCACGAAGUAAAUCCGCCAUGUGGAAGGCUCGUGUACAAAGGAAGCCGAUUCAGAUUCUGAGCCAGCAGAGCCGUAUGCAGACUUCGUUCAAACCGUGAACCUGGUUGAUGGCCCCUCCACGCGCAGCUGUGCAUCUGCUUGUGGACGAAUCACCGAAAGGAGAACCGGCUUGUCCUUGAGAUGCCCAUCAACGCACCCUGCAUUCCUUGAUGCUAACCCUAACCCUAAAACUCGUGAUUCCGGCAGUGUGUUAACCUGUGUCUUUGCUUUGCAUCAGCAUUUCCUGUUGUAGUCAGCAGGGUUCAGAGCAACUCUGUGGGAAGAGCCGCGUGUUGUCCGGCAACUGCCGACUGGCGCUUGGUGCCCGCCCAGGACCGCUGUGCCCGUCCAGCUUCUCAGCACCUCAUGGGCGUGUUGCAUUUACUUACUCAUUUUAGAGAAUGAAAGAGAGUGCGAGCAGGGGAUGAGGGAGAGACAGUCCAAGCAGACUCCCAUCGAGUGCGGAGCCAAUGUGGGCAGAUCAUACCCUGAGAUCAGGACCUGAGCUGGAGCCAGGAGUCAGAUGCCCAACAGACUAAGUCCCCCAGAUGCCACACUGGGCAGACCUGGAAAACUUGGAUUUCCCUGCAAGGUCAGGGCCUGCCCACUGACCAGGAAGCUGGCCGAAUGUGGCACCUGGGAGCCCAUGGUGUGGCCAGUCUGCAGGGUGAGUGACUGUCACCAGUUGAGAGCUGCCGUGUCAGAAAGUUUAGAGGACGGUUUCCUGCUACCUGGAGGUUAUACACACAGAGGUAGACUCUUAAUGUGGUGGCAGUUUUUCAGUAUUGGCUGCUACAUCUGCCUAAAUUAAAUUCCUGUAUUAGAAAAAUGCACAUAUUUCAUGCAGUGAAAUGCUGUAGAUACGUGCACUGCCUUUCUGCACAGGA